CGCGUAGGCGGGAUGGCAAGUCGGUCGUGAAAUCCCUCGGCUCAACUGAGGAGCGUCGGCCGAUACUGCCAUUCUUGAGGGAUGCAGAGGAGACUGGAAUUCCCGGUGUAGCGGUGAAAUGUGUAGAGAUCGGGAGGAACACCGGUGGCGAAGGCGGGUCUCUGGGCAUCUCCUGACGCUGAGGCGCGAAAGCGUGGGGAGCAAACG
rnacentral:rRNA from 1 species